rnacentral:rRNA from 1 species
AACGAACGCUGGCGGCGCGCCUAAUACAUGCAAGUCGAGCGAGAAGACGUAGCAAUACGUUUGUAAAGCGGCGAACGGGUGAGGAAUACAUGGGUAACCUACCCUCGAGUGGGGAAUAACUAGCCGAAAGGUUAGCUAAUACCGCGUACGCUCCUUGGACUUCGGUUCAGGGAGGAAAGCGAUACCGUGGGUAUCGCGCUCUUGGAUGGGCUCAUGUCCUAUCAGCUUGUUGGUGAGGAACGGCUCACCAAGGCUUCGACGGGUAGCUGGUCUGAGAGGACGAUCAGCCACACUGGCACUGCGACACGGGCCAGACUCCUACGGGAGGCAGCAGUAAGGAAUAUUGCGCAAUGGGCGAAAGCCUGACGCAGCGACGCCGCGUGGGGGAUGAAGGUCUUCGGAUU